UACGGAGGGUGCGAGCGUUGUCCGGAAUCACUGGGCGUAAAGGGCGCGUAGGCGGCUUGGCAAGUCGGGUGUGAAAACUCCGGGCUCAACUCGGAGACGCCACUCGAUACUGCUAUGACUCGAGUCCGGUAGGGGAGUGCGGAAUUCCUGGUGUAGCGGUGAAAUGCGCAGAUAUCAGGAGGAACACCGGUGGCGAAGGCGGCACUCUGGGCCGGUACUGACGCUGAGGAGCGAAAGCGUGGGGAGCGAACAGG
rnacentral:rRNA from 1 species